UGCCAGCAGCCGCGGUAAUACGUAGGUGACAAGCGUUGUCCGGAAUUAUUGGGCGUAAAGGGAAGCGCAGGCGGUUGGAAUAGUCUGAUGUGAAAGCCCACGGCUUAACCGUGGAAGGUCAUUGGAAACUGUCCAACUCGAAUGCAGAAGAGGAAAGUGGAAUUCCAUGUGUAGCGGUGAAAUGCGUAGAUAUGUGGAGGAACACCAGUGGCGAAAGCGACUUUCUAGUCUGUAAUUGACGCUGAGGCUCGAAAGUGUGGGUAGCAAACAGGAUUAGAUA
rnacentral:rRNA from 1 species